GGGGAGUCGUCCAGGUGCAGGGCACAAUGGCCUGGAGUGCAGUGAGAAGCGGGGGAAGGCCAGUGACAGACUGAGUGUGUUUUGGGGGGGGCACGGGCUUGCUGGAGAAUUAGAUGUGGAGAAUGAGAAAAAAAGAGGCCUCGGGAGAGACUCCAAGGCAUGUGUGCAAUAGGGCAGAGGAAUGAUCAUGGCGUCACUUGCCAGGAUGAAGAAGAUGGAGUGGGUGCAGGUUUCUAAGGAAAAUCGAGGGUUCCUUUUUGGCCAUAUGUAUUUGAGAUGCUGUGAGACCCUCAAAUAGAGAGCUCAGACAGCACCAAUGCCUGCAGGUCACUGCACCCAUGAUGCCCAGAUCAGCCCCACCAGGGGCUCCAGGCAUGCAGAGCCUGAUGGGAGGCAACUAGCUGGUACAUGGCAGAAGGAGCGAUGCUCACUGCACACGGUCAGGGAGGAGGUGGGGGUGUGGCGCCCCUUCCACCCUCCACUGAGUCCACCACCAACAGCUGGUACCUCUCCUCUAAAUCCACACUGUCCAACAUAGAACUGCCACAAGCCACAUGUGUGCUGUAAGCCUAACAUACACGCUGGGUUGAGUGUUUAGACACAGCACAAAACAAGUCUGAAAAUAGCUCAAUAAUUUUUAUAUCAAGUACAUGUUGAAAAGAUGUUUGGGAUAUGUUCUGUUCAAUAAAAAUACUAUUUAAAUUAAUUUCACCUGUUUCUUUUCACU
rnacentral:lncRNA from 1 species